rnacentral:lncRNA from 1 species
GUGGUGCUGGAGCUCAGUUAUUUAGAUCCUGGGCAACAUAUAUAAAUCGUUCCAUUUCUCACCCGAGGUAUUUCCCUAUUCCAGCUUAGCUUUUAUGCUUCUACAAGUUUUGUAGUGUUAAUGAUUGGCUAAAAUUAUCAGUUAAUAGAUUCUUUUUUAUUGACAUGCUUAUAUAUUUUUCAUCCUUGCAUGGCAGCCAUUGCCAUAGACAUUCAAUUGUCUCGCAGCUCAACUUAUAAUAUACAUAUUGUGUGACACAAUAAGUCCAUAUUUCGGUGUUGCGUGCUUAGUCUUCAGUGCUCUGAAGAGGGCCUUUUCAGCUCCAAGAAUCUGAACUAUGCUCCCAGGCUGCUUUGCAAGGUUCAACAAGCUACCACCAUGGGAAAUGGGGUGAGCACCGACGAGCUCUCCAACAAGAGCAGUCAAAUUUGGUGCAACGGUGUUCAUCCUAUUUUUCAAAUAGUCAUAUAGCUGAGCUCUGUACUCAGAGAGAGAAAGGACUUGGUCACGGAGUGCUUUGAUGUUCAUCAAAUCAAGAUCGCUAACUUCUGUAUUUAACUCUUUAUCGAACCCUCAUUGCAUAUGUAUUUAACUCUUUAUCGAACCCUCAUUCAUACAGUAUAGAAAACUGACUGAGCAUCAUUUCCGGUAA